rnacentral:rRNA from 1 species
AUUGAACGCUAGCGGGAUGCCUUACACAUGCAAGUCGAACAGAGUGGCGAACGGGUGAGUAAUGUAUCGGAACGUGCCCAGUAGCGGGGGAUACCUACGCGAAAGCGUAGCUAAUACCGCAUACUAUUGGAGCGGCCGAUAUGGGAUUAGCUAGUUGGUGGGGUAACGGCUUACCAAGGCGACGAUCCGUAGCUGGUUUGAGAGGACGACCAGCCACACGGGGACUGAGACACGGCCCAGAAUCCUACGGGAGGCAGCAGGGGGGAAUGUUGUACAAUGGGAGAAACCCUGAUCCAGCCAUCCAGCGUGUGCGAUGAAGGCCUUCGGGUUGUAAAGCACUUUUGGCAAGAAAGCGGUACCUGCAGAAUAAGCACCGGCUGACUACGUGCCAGCAGCCGCGGUAAUUC